UACGUAGGGGGGCAAGCGUUGUCCGGAAUCACGUGGCUUAAAGCGCACGUAGGCGGCCCGAUAAGUCGGAUGUGAAAUCCCUCGGCUCAACCGAGGACGUGCAUUCGAAACUGUCGGGCUCGAGUAUGGAAGAGGGUCGCGGAAUUCCCAGUGUAGAGGUGAAAUUCGUAGAUAUUGGGAGGAACACCAGUGGCGAAGGCGGCUCACUGGACCGGAACUGACGCUGAGGCGCGAAAGCGUGGGGAGCAAACAGG
rnacentral:rRNA from 1 species